CGCGUGGGUAACCUGCCCUGUACAGGGGGACAACAGCUGGAAACGGCUGCUAAUACCGCAUAAGCCCUUAGCACUGCAUGGUGCAUAGGGAAAAGGAGUAAUCCGGUACAGGAUGGACCCGCGUCUGAUUAGCCAGUUGGCAGGGUAACGGCCUACCAAAGCGACGAUCAGUAGCCGAUCUGAGAGGAUGUACGGCCACAUUGGGACUGAGACACGGCCCAGACUCCUACGGGAGGCAGCAGUGGGGAAUAUUGCACAAUGGAGGAAACUCUGAUGCAGCGACGCCGCGUGAGUGAAGAAGUAUUUCGGUAUGUAAAGCUCCAUCAGCAGGGAAGAAAAUGACGGUACCUGACUAAGAAGCACCGGCUAAAUACGUGCCAGCAGCCGCGGUAAUACGUAUGGUGCAAGCGUUAUCCGGAUUUACUGGGUGUAAAGGGAGCGUAGGUGGCAAGGCAAGCCAGAAGUGAAAACCCGGGGCUCAACCGCGGGAUUGCUUUUGGAACUGUCAUGCUAGAGUGCAGGAGGGGUGAGCGGAAUUCCUAGUGUAGCGGUGAAAUGCGUAGAUAUUAGGAGGAACACCAGAGGCGAAGGCGGCUCACUGGACUGUAACUGACACUGAGGCUCGAAAGCGUGGGG
rnacentral:rRNA from 1 species